rnacentral:rRNA from 1 species
AGAGUUUGAUCAUGGCUCAGAUUGAACGCUGGCGGCAGGCCUAACACAUGCAAGUCGAACGGUAACAGGAAACAGCUUGCUGUUUCGCUGACGAGUGGCGGACGGGUGAGUAAUGUCUGGGAAACUGCCUGAUGGAGGGGGAUAACUACUGGAAACGGUAGCUAAUACCGCAUAACGUCGCAAGACCAAAGAGGGGGACCUUCGGGCCUCUUGCCAUCAGAUGUGCCCAGAUGGGAUUAGCUAGUAGGUGGGGUAACGGCUCACCUAGGCGACGAUCCCUAGCUGGUCUGAGAGGAUGACCAGCCACACUGGAACUGAGACACGGUCCAGACUCCUACGGGAGGCAGCAGUGGGGAAUAUUGCACAAUGGGCGCAAGCCUGAUGCAGCCAUGCCGCGUGUAUGAAGAAGGCCUUCGGGUUGUAAAGUACUUUCAGCGGGGAGGAAGGGAGUAAAGUUAAUACCUUUGCUCAUUGACGUUACCCGCAGAAGAAGCACCGGCUAACUCCGUGCCAGCAGCCGCGGUAAUACGGAGGGUGCAAGCGUUAAUCGGAAUUACUGGGCGUAAAGCGCACGCAGGCGGUUUGUUAAGUCAGAUGUGAAAUCCCCGGGCUCAACCUGGGAACUGCAUCUGAUACUGGCAAGCUUGAGUCUCGUAGAGGGGGGUAGAAUUCCAGGUGUAGCGGUGAAAUGCGUAGAGAUCUGGAGGAAUACCGGUGGCGAAGGCGGCCCCCUGGACGAAGACUGACGCUCAGGUGCGAAAGCGUGGGGAGCAAACAGGAUUAGAUACCCUGGUAGUCCACGCCGUAAACGAUGUCGACUUGGAGGUUGUGCCCUUGAGGCGUGGCUUCCGGAGCUAACGCGUUAAGUCGACCGCCUGGGGAGUACGGCCGCAAGGUUAAAACUCAAAUGAAUUGACGGGGGCCCGCACAAGCGGUGGAGCAUGUGGUUUAAUUCGAUGCAACGCGAAGAACCUUACCUGGUCUUGACAUCCACGGAAGUUUUCAGAGAUGAGAAUGUGCCUUCGGGAACCGUGAGACAGGUGCUGCAUGGCUGUCGUCAGCUCGUGUUGUGAAAUGUUGGGUUAAGUCCCGCAACGAGCGCAACCCUUAUCCUUUGUUGCCAGCGGUCCGGCCGGGAACUCAAAGGAGACUGCCAGUGAUAAACUGGAGGAAGGUGAGGAUGACGUCAAGUCAUCAUGGCCCUUACGACCAGGGCUACGCACGUGCUACAAUGGCGCAUACAAAGAGAAGCGACCUCGCGAGAGCAAGCGGACCUCAUAAAGUGCGUCGUAGUCCGGAUUGGAGUCUGCAACUCGACUCCAUGAAGUCGGAAUCGCUAGUAAUCGUGGAUCAGAAUGCCACGGUGAAUACGUUCCCGGGCCUUGUACACACCGCCCGUCACACCAUGGGAGUGGGUUGCAAAAGAAGUAGGUAGCUUAACCUUCGGGAGGGCGCUUACCACUUUGUGAUUCAUGACUGGGGUGAAGUC